rnacentral:misc_RNA from 1 species
UUUCCGUAGGUGAACCUGCGGAAGGAUCAUUACCCUUUUAUCAGGGGAUAGGUGUCAGCAGGGCUUCUGUUCUGUCUCUGGCACCUAUUCUCUCUGAUUCUACCCAUGCUUUUUGCGUACUAUUUGUUGCCUUGGUGGGCUUGCCUGCCUGUAGGACAUAUCUAAACCCCUUGUAAUUGCAGUCAGUGUCAGUAAACAUUAUAAUUAUUACAACUUUCAACAACGGAUCUCUUGGUUCUG